rnacentral:rRNA from 1 species
GACGAACGCUGGCGGCGUGCUUAACACAUGCAAGUCGAACGGAAAGGCCCUGCUGUUGUGGUGUGCUCAAGUGGCGAACGGGUGGGUAACACGUGAGUAACCUGCCCUUUACUUUGGGAUAACUUCAGGAAACUGGGGCUAAUACCGGAUAGGAUCUCCUGCUGCAUGUUGGGGGUUGUAAAGUUUCGGGGGUUGGGGAUGGACUGGCGGCUUAUCAGCUGGUUGGUGGGGUAGUGGCUUACCAAGGCGUUGACGGGAAGCCGGCCUGAGAGGGUGACCGGCGACAUUGGGACCGAGAGGAGGCAGCGACAGGUACGGGACGGAGAAGGGGGGAAGAUUGACCAAUGGGCGGCGGGCGGAUGAAGAAAGGCCGCGUGCGGGAUGACGGUGUUGGGGUUGAAAAACGCGUUCGUCUGUGACGAAGCGUGAGUGACGGUAAUGGGUAAAGAAGCACCGGCUAAAUACGUGC